rnacentral:tRNA from 1 species
GUUUUAAUAGUUUAAUAAAAACAUUGGUCUUGUAAACCAAAGUUAAGAAGCCCCCACUUUUAAAACU